UGUACCCUACGGGACGCAGCAGUGGGGAAUAUUGCACAAUGGGGGAAACCCUGAUGCAGCGACGCCGCGUGAGCGAUGAAGUAUUUCGGUAUGUAAAGCUCUAUCAGCAGGGAAGAAAAUGACGGUACCUGACUAAGAAGCCCCGGCUAACUACGUGCCAGCAGCCGCGGUAAUACGUAGGGGGCAAGCGUUAUCCGGAUUUACUGGGUGUAAAGGGAGCGUAGACGGCUGUGCAAGCCAGAUGUGAAAGGUGCGGGCACAACCCGCAGACUGCACUGGUAACUGCCUGGCUGGAGGGCCGGAGG
rnacentral:rRNA from 1 species